UACGAAGGGGGCUAGCGUUGCUCGGAAUUACUGGGCGUAAAGCGCACGUAGGCGGCUCUUUAAGUCGGGGGUGAAAUCCUGGAGCUCAACUCCAGAACUGUCUUCGAUACUGUAGAGCUUGAGUUCGGGAGAGGUGAGUGGAACUGCGAGUGUAGAGGUGAAAUGCGUAGAUAUCGGGAGGAACACCAGUGGCGAAAGCGGCUACCUGGCCCACUCUUGACGCUGAGGCGCGAAAGCUAGGGGAGCAAACGGG
rnacentral:rRNA from 1 species